UUGAUUUGAUGUUUUCACCUUUGUUUUACAAAUAGCAGUUUGCCCGAGCGCUGGAAGGAGAAGGUGGCUCCGAUGCUGCUGCGGCUUCCCCAGCUGCAAGGGGAGAUGCCCGGGUCCCCCGGGCAGGCUGGCAGCCAGGCUGAUGCUCCCCCUCUGCUGCGGCUGGAAGACAUGAGCUCCCCAUUAAGAGGAUAUUUCAACCAGGCGGAGGGGCUGCGGCGGCCGGGGGAACGUGCAGCAGGAGGGGACAGGGACAGGACACGUGAGAGACGAGAGGAGAAGCCAAUUUACGCUGGAAUGUAAAUACGGCAGCAGCACGCUGCUCCGUGGGGUGCGUCACCCCCCUCCUGGCCCUGGGACCAGGGCAAGAGCCGCCUGUGACAGCUCAGACCUCAUCCGUGCCAUGGGACGGCAAAGUCUGCAUCUCGCCUGGGCACUCUGCAGAGGUGAGGAGGAGGAGGGUCAGGGGCUGUUGCAGCAGCCCAGUCCCACCGCUGCUGCUCCUGCUCUCCACAGUGAGGUAUCAUAGGUCGCACGUCCAGUGGCAGAGGGAUGGAGUCUCAGACAUCCCCUCAUAAUCCUAAGAAUCAAUAGCAGCGUCUCUAGCCCCCCUGGAUGUGCAGAACAACAGCUCAGAGUUAAGAGGGGAACUUCUCAGCAGGAUUAACUCUGAAACCUAGUGACAACAUUUUAAGUAUCUGAGCUAUCUGUGUCCCUGCUGCUCAUUCUAGCAGCUAGCUCUUACUAAUGAGCUUUACUCAACAGCACUAGAUUUGUCUGUAAGAGCAACCUCCGGGGAUCAAGAAGUAAGGUUUAAAGAUGCAAAUAUUCUGUGAGAUAUCCAGAUUUAAAUGUCUUUUUUUGUUGUUCCUUAGCCUGGAGUCCAGGGAUAAGUUUUAAAGGAAGUGAGGAAAGAUCCUCCAGAAUGUGAGCCAGAAAAACUUUUUUAAAACAAAAGACCAAAUAAAAUGAAAAUACAAUUAUUUUUAUUUUUUAGCUUAAAACCACUGAAUUAAUAAAGUUCCCUUCUGCUCACCCAGAACAGUGUGAGCACAGCUGCCCCAGCCCUGGGGAGCAGGUCAAGUUUGUCCACUCCUCUCCGGUUUGCAGAGCAUUGCCUGGGGAAGCCGUGCCCUUGCUGGUGGGUGCCAGGAGCAGCAGCACGGGGUGAACCCCAACCAGCCACCUCACUACCCAGGGCAGAGGGACCUCAGCAAACGGGUCCGUGGCAGAUGACAAAGAGCUUCAAAUAAGUCCCUAAAACAUCCAGCCCAGGCUGGCAGCGGGCUCCUCUCCUGCCCCGGGGCUGCACCCCAGUGCAAAGACCUGAGCUCAGACACAGAUGCUUGGAGAAUUCACACCCCAAGGCAGGUUGGGUUUUGGUUUUUUUUAAUCUUCUACAUGUUGGGUUUUGGUUUUUUUUUUUUUUUCAUUUUGAGGCAGGAGCAAUAACUGCUAAAGAUGCAUAUGGAAUUUGAAUAUGAAUGAUAAGAACAGCUGUGUAUAUCUAUUAUGAAUGAACAUAAACAGAAAUGUAUAAACUGAGAUUUUGGGGCUUUUGGAAGAAUUAGUGCCUUUGUUCCUGGAUUUUUUUCCUAUCAAAGUUUGAACCAAAGCCCAUUAGCCUGGACUUUCCCGCAGCCAACCAAGCCAGGAGCUUCAUUUCGCCCUGGCUCCGAGCCACGCCAAAUUCUCCUCAACAGCUCAGUGAGCCCUAAUCCUAACAAAUUUACCCAGAGAAGUGGGUCUCUUAUUACACAGCCUAAUUUGAAUGCUUUCCAAGGUUAAUUUCUUCUCCCUCUCUCUCUCCAAACACGCCUGCCCCUCCAGAGCUGGCUCCCCCCUUCCCCAGCCCCCCCCCGCCUCCGGCUCCCCGUUAGCGCCAGCCCAGGGGGAGCAGCCCUCUUCACCGCCACGAUGGUUUUUAAACGAGAAAAUAAUGUGAUGUGCGUCCCUGGGUCCAGGCUUUGCCCGGAGGGUUUCUUAAUGCCGAGCAACUUCCUUUGCAAAUUAAUUGCAACUUUCGUUGGGCGAAAAUAGCCCUGGAAGCCCCUUCCCCACAGGCUUUUCCGCAUGUGAUAUUACUCAGUUCAUAAUCUGACGCCUGCAACUCUGUUUCUUCCGUCCCCUCCCCAGCGUGCCGGUGACCGGCAGGAUGACCCACCGGCAAGGCGGCCGCGCCAGGGCGAGGGGAGCAUCGCUGCAGCGUGGCCGAGCCAGCCCCGGUCCUCGCUUUGCAGCAGACUGUGCAGGAAAACCUCAGCGUGGGGAAACCAAAACCCGGCUCAGUGCAGGGAGCAGCUGCCAGAUCCAUUAGGGAAGGAACCAGCCGUGCCUGGUGGACAGCUAUCGCGGGAGAGGGGUGGCGGAGGGGCUGCUGGGGUGGUAGGGGCUCGCAGCGGGGGAUUAAAAGGAAGGGUUACGUGGAAAAAGUGUCCGGAGGAGCUGGGAGCCCACCUCACCCGCCAGCCCGGCUGGAUGUGGCCCAGGGGAUGCUUUCUGCCGGCUCUAAGCUGCAAGAAGCGGAGCCUUUCCCCGGCAGCCGUGCCUGGGGGGUUUGCACUGGGUCGCUGCAGGUGUGGAACAGCAGCCUUGCAGCCCUGGGCCAGGGGUUUCCUGCACGCCCUGAGGCAGUGAGGUCCCUGGUGCGUGUGGCAGGGUGCCCUGCCUGUCUCCCAGCUGCCAUGGCAGCCGAGAUUCACCCCGCUUGCUCUCCUUUCCACACAUAUUUCUUCUUUAUACUCAGUUAACGCUUUUCUAUUUGCUCACGCUAAGCAUCCCAGGUAGCGCAGCAUGCCAUCGCCCCGGCAGGUGAUGGGGCAGGGAAGGGGUCGGGCACGUGCCCUGUGCCGUGCCAGGGUGGUGGAGCCGGGCUGGAGCGCCAGCGGGACUGAAGCACCAGGAGCGGUGCCGGGCUCUUCCCGGCUGCGAUGCCAGGAAGGUGUUCCCUCUGAAGUGCCUCUGCAGGUCACGUCUGCUGCCACGUCCCACUGCCAGGUAACCUCCUGGUGCUGCUCCCUGUCGCCCCGAAGCCUCGCUGCCCGAUGCUGCCCGGCGGUCAUCUCACCGAGCAGAUCCCCACGUUUGAUGAUUUUGCUCCAGGCGUACGAGUUGCACGUAUCAAAGCUGAGCCACAUCUUAUCUCCUGGCUGUGUUCCUGCAGGCUCCCAGCCUGGGAGUCCCGGCUGCAGGGUGUUUGCAGCAGUUCCUCGGCACCGUGUGUCGCGCUGGAUUUGAGGUGCCAGUUUUGGGGGGCAGAGCCCCGGGGCAGGUCUCUGGGGUGCAGGUCAGAGGGGCUGGCACAGCAGGGGCCCCGUCUGCCAGGAGGAUGCUGGUCAUUGCUGUAAGGUUAACUUUAAAUAAUGGGAAUAAUAAAAAUAAGGCAGUCUGGAAGAAGGAGAGAGCAAAGUGAAUCCUAAUGAGGUUGCACAGACACAUCAGCAUGAUCAUUUCAUGGAAAUCAUUUUAAAAAGGAAAAAAAGCAUCAAGUUUAGGUUGAAGGACGUGGGACGCGGCAGCCAGGGCACAGUCCCGUGAGGCCACGGAGGCGGUCUGUGCCCCUGUCCCCACCAAGGUCCCACACCCAUGAGCUGCUCCUGCCCCGCUGCACUGGGGAAGGUCCAGGGCAAGCCGUGCCUGCGGAGGGGGUGGGAAACAGGCCUGAAGGACAGAGGUAGAAGCUGCUCAGUGCGGGACGGUGACUGGCAUCUUGUCACCAGCUUCACUGCAGGCAAGUGUGGUGUCUGGUGCAAAGGGACAGGACGUUUGCUUUUAGGGAUGGCCAAAAUUUACCGAGAGUUGUAGCGGCAAACACUGGAAGAGGAAGUUUUAGAAGGGAAAUAAAAUGUUAAUGCCUCAAGGCUUAAGGCAAUCCUCUGUGCCAAGGCAGGAAAGUAAUUAGUGCUGUAGAUGGGGAAAUAACCAGCAUUAAAUGGAAGCAGGGUGAGGGCAGGUUGAAGGGACUGCAAGGAGGAGGAUGGGAUGGGGCUCUCCAGGAGACAGCAGGGACCAAGCCUGGAGCCCCCCAAGACCCCUCCAGCACACCAAGCCCCAGCAGCACCCACCUCGCCGGGGGGAUGCGCCUGCAACACCCCAGCCCUCCUCCUCGCCCCGGCUCCCACUGGCCACGGGCCAGGCAAAAGGCUCCCCUGAGCGCGGCGGGGACCGGUCCAACCCCGUGCAGCUCCAAUUAUCCCUGGCUGGAGACUUUCCAGGAAUCUCAUCCCCCCUCUCUCUCUCCCCCCCAACCCUGCCUCCCCCAGCCUCCCCCCCUCAAAGCAAUUUGACUUUUAUAGUAAUAACUUCUGAACCCUGAAUUGGGGACGUGCCAAGGAAAGCAGCAGAAAACAAUGUGAUGGGCCUCGGCAGGCGCGGAAACUCCAGCGACCGAGACCAGCCCUAAAAUAACUUUUGAGCGAUUGUUAUUUAUUCUGGGAGAAAGUUCGUUCAUUCACAAUUUGGAGGGGAGAUAAAUCAGGGCGGGCUCGGGCUGCCCGCCCCUGCGCAGAGGCAGCACGCCGCAGCUGCGAAUGCAGGGUGCCUGCAGCGCCGGGUGCAGCCAGCUCACCGCAGUCCUCAUGCACGUGUGCCUCCCUGUGCCCUGCUGAAAAAGCCACACUGAUAAUUCUUUUUUUUU